rnacentral:tRNA from 1 species
UCAUCGGUAGUAUAGUGGUCAGUAUCCCCGCCUGUCACGCGGGAGACCGGGGUUCGAUUCUCCGCAGAGGAG